ACCAAACAAGAAAGCUGGUUUUAUUCUUUUCUAAAAUGAUUUUUAUUUGGAUUGAAAAGUUUCAACCGAAUUUUUCAAUUUGGAUUCGGUUUUGCAUUUGGAAAAUUGAAAAACCAAACUACACCGAAAUUUACUUAUUAAUACCGGCCAUUUUUCAUUAGGCCCAAACAAUAAGUAACUCUCCAUUAAAAGCUUGUAACCCUAAAGAGCCUAAACCUAUUUUACAAUCGCAGCACGCCUCCCUCCUUCCUCCUCCCUCCUCCUUUCUCUGUAAUCACUUUCUUCCUCUAUCAAGCUUUGUCCUUGUUCAUCCAGCUUCGUCAAUCUUCAUCUGUAAAUCUUCAUCAACAUCUUCACCUUCAUCAGAUUGGAGAGUAUUUCCAUUUCAGAUUCAAUAAUUUUUUUCAGUUUAAAAAAUUCUAUAUUUCUUAUUGUUAUUUAUGAAUUAUUUUUAUAAUUUGUAGAUGGUAGAAUUCACAUGUAUUUUUAAUUUUUUUAAUUGAAUUUUCGCAAUUUUUCUCGUUUUUUGUUUGGUAACUGAUAUAAUUCGGUGUAAUCAGUCCAGUUCGGUGUAGUAGAAGUUCGGUUUAGUUCGGUUCGGUGUUGAAUUUUUUUAAUUUGGAUUUGGACUUGAAAUAUGAAGACUGAAUUUAAUUUGUUUUGAAUUUACACCCUUAUCGA